CUGUGUUCUCGUGGAAGGUGUGAAAGAUUGCAAACCCUUCCUUUCAACUGUCCACUCCUACAAAGAAUGGAUACUCAGACGUGCCAUCCUUCCUUCCGUGCACAACAGCUGAAUGCAACAGACAUGGCAUCUGGGAGGCUGUUGAGUCCACAGUACCUAGAUCACAACUUUAGAUACUAGAUGAUACUAGAAGAGGCCUUCUUGGUUCAGUCAGGAGAAUGAAUGGCAUGUGGCUCUACCCUGUGAUCUCAAUAUAGUGACAGGAUCACCUGCUUCCUUGUCAUGAACAUCAACAGUUAGACCUCUGCUCUCCUUCUCUAGCCCACCCAAGGAGAUAUUCUUCUGGCCAUAUCAUUAAAGCAUUAUUUUCUAUGGACCAACGAGCAACUACUCCAAAUAUUGUAAAGGAACAAAACUAUACCAAUUGCCGACACUAUCCACAGGUUUUUACUGAUGCUUUUUGAUUGGAAGAAGAAACCUUAUAUUUAUGUCUAAGAAAAUGAAUGAAAGAAUGGACCCAGCUCAACAAAAAUAAGUCAUUAUUCAUGGAAUAGAUAUGAACAAUUGCUGAUCAGGAUGGAGUUCUUCCAGAACAGUCUAUGGAAAUGUCUAUACAAUCUAUGAGAUUCCCAGGGUUUUGAGUUGUUGGAUCUCAGUGAUGACCAAUAUGGGAGAAAGAUGGAAUUACUUGCUAACUUUAGAAAAAGAUGAGCACGAAUGAUCAACUUUGACACAAGGUGGCAGAGAUUAAAAUCAAUGUGCUUGAGAAACAACCACAACAGAAAUACCAGCUGCCUUUUGAAAACAAGGGCAUUGGGGAAUGAAUGGGAUUGCAUGUUUCUUCUGUUCUGUGUUCAAGAGCUUCGAUGGCUACUGUGUUACAUCAGGAAUGGCCAGUGGCUGGACCCCACCCUCCCCCACUCCCUUUUAAUUCAAUGACUACGUGGGGGCUUCUUUGAUGGAGGCUUUGAAGUCGGUGGCUUUGAGAUUACUCUUCCUCUGUGACCUUGACCACCAGCCAUGAGCUCUGCCCCCUCUGAUUUCACGCUCACACAUUAACGAGAGCUGACACUGGAGAUUAGACGCAGACAGCUGGAAUGCCAGGGCUUUGUUGCGGCAUGGACUGCAGCCAACGUCGUUCAACCACAGCCAAGAGGGACCUGGGAAAGUCUUCUUAAGAAGGAG
rnacentral:lncRNA from 1 species